UGUUGAAACACUGGUUCUUGUACAAUCACAAGAGUUAAACAACAUUGAGCCUGAUCAGUACCUAGAUGGGUGACCACUUGGGAAUACCAAGUACUGUAA